GGGCCUUAGCUCAUGGAUAGAGCAUCUGUUUUGCCUCCAGAAGGUCCCAGAUUCAAUCCCUGGCAUCUCCA